UACGUAGGGGGCAAGCGUUGUCCGGAUUUAUUGGGCGUAAAGAGCGUGUAGGCGGCCAGGUAGGUCGGUUGUGAAAACUGGAGGCUCAACCUCCAGACGUCGACCGAAACCAUCUGGCUAGAGUCCGGAAGAGGAGAGUGGAAUUCCUGGUGUAGCGGUGAAAUGCGCAGAUAUCAGGAAGAACACCCGUGGCGAAAGCGGCUCUCUGGGACGGUACUGACGCUGAGGUGCGAAAGCGUGGGGAGCAAACAGG
rnacentral:rRNA from 1 species